GUGCUCGCUUUGGCAGCACAUCUGCUAAAACUGGAAUGAUACAGAGAAGAUGAAUAUGGCUCCCAUGCAAGGAUGAUAUGCAAAUUUGUGAAGCAUUCCAUAUUUUU
rnacentral:snRNA from 1 species